UCAAAGCGGUAGCUUUAGAAAGUAAACUAAUCGGAGGAGUAAAGUAUAUACUGAGAAAAAAAAUUAUUAUUUCCCGCGAUCUGAUAAAUAAAAACAAAUUUCAGUCUUCUUCUCAUUCAAUUGUCCCUAAAAAUUAGAAGAAAAUCGAAUUAACCCUAGCUGAGCCAGUAAGCAGAAAUCAAAUUGCUGCCAAUGAUGAACCCUUACGAUAACCGGUACACCGACCCCGACUCUUACCGUCACCGUCGCAGUGAUUUAAUGGGCCAACAGCCUCCACUGGGGGCCACUUACGGACGCGGUGGACCUGUUCCUUAUGGAAGUGGAGGUGGUCCUCUGCCUCCGUCUUUUGCGAAUAGAGGAGGUCCUGCUCCAGUUGGUGGAGGUUAUCCUGCGUUUGAGCCCCCUGCUAGUGGAUUCAGUGUUGGACGGGGUGGCGGCGGAGGAGGGGGAAGGGGAAGGGGGUUCAGUGGUGGCCGUGGAUCUAAUUUUUAUACUGGGGAUAGAAGAAAUGAUGCUGGUCAUGGGAGAGGCUGGAAUUCUGGCCGUGGUGGUGGCCGUGGUGGGAGGGGGUAUGGUGGUGGUGGAAGAGGAGGGAGGCAUGGAGGGGGAGGUCCAAAAGGAGAAUUGGAUAAUAUUGCACUUCCAAAGCAGGAUUUUGGGAAUUUGGUACCUUUCGAGAAGAAUUUCUACUUUGAGAAUCCUUCGAUUAGGGCUUUGUCUGAGCAUGAAGUGGUGAUGUAUCGUACAAGAAGAGAGAUUACUGUUGAAGGCCAUGAUGUGCCUAAGCCUAUUCGCCUGUUUCAUGAGGCCAAUUUCCCUGAUUACUGCUUACAGGUGAUUGCUAAGUUGGGUUUUGUUGAGCCAACACCAAUUCAGGCUCAAGGGUGGCCGAUGGCUCUAAAGGGUAGAGAUUUAAUUGGCAUUGCUGAGACCGGUUCUGGUAAGACAUUGGCAUACAUGCUACCAGCUUUUGUGCAUGUUGCUGCGCAGCCUCGAUUGGUACAAGGUGAUGGUCCGAUUGUGUUAGUAUUAGCACCUACCAGAGAGCUGGCAGUUCAAAUUCAAGAAGAAGGUUUAAAGUUUGGUUCACAUGCUAAUAUUAGGAGCACUUGCAUAUAUGGUGGUGCUCCCAAGGGACCCCAAAUUCGUGAUCUCCAAAGAGGUGUUGAAAUUGUCAUCGCUACCCCUGGUCGACUAAUAGAUAUGCUGGAAGCUCAACACACAAAUUUGCGAAGAGUCACAUACCUGGUGUUGGACGAGGCUGAUCGAAUGUUGGACAUGGGGUUUGAGCCUCAAAUUAGGAAAAUUAUAUCUCAAAUUCGACCAGAUAGACAGACAUUAUAUUGGAGUGCAACAUGGCCCAGGGAGGUUGAAAUUUUAGCAAGGCAGUUUUUGCACAACGCGUACAAGGUAAUCAUAGGAUCAGCAGAUUUAAAAGCAAACCAAUCUAUAAACCAAGUUGUUGAGGUCGUCAUGGACAUGGAGAAGUAUAAUAGGCUGAUCAAAUUGCUGAAAGAAGUGAUGGAUGGAAGUCGGAUUCUGAUUUUCAUGGAGACAAAAAAAGGCUGUGACCAAGUUACAAGGCAGUUGAGAAUGGAUGGAUGGCCAGCAUUAUCCAUCCAUGGUGAUAAAAACCAGGCUGAAAGGGACUGGGUCCUGGCAGAAUUCAAAAGUGGCAGAAGUGCGAUAAUGACUGCCACUGAUGUUGCUGCACGGGGUCUUGAUGUGAAGGACAUAAAAUGUGUUAUCAACUAUGAUUUUCCUUCCAGCCUCGAGGAUUAUGUUCACAGGAUAGGCCGAACUGGUCGUGCAGGAGCUAGGGGAACUGCCUUUACCUUUUUCACGGAUUCAAAUGCAAAGUUUGCCAGGGGUCUAAUUAGAAUUCUGCAAGAGUCAGGGCAGAUUGUGCCUCCAGCAUUAUCUGCUUUGGCUCGGUCAUCUGGUUCUUUUGGAGGUUCUGCAGGUAACUUCCGUUCCAGAGGACGAGGAGGCAGCUUUGGCAACAGGGGUUCGAUUUCAGGAUCUAAUACUGUGCCUCUUGGUGCUCGUAGGCCUUGGUAAUUUAAUGAACAAUUGCAGCGUUUCCAGAGUCUACCAUAUAAUAGGAAAACCAUCUCUGUGGUGGUUGCUGCCUUGGUGUUGAUCUUUUGUUUUGACGAGAUGUGUUGAAAAAUCAUAAACGCAACCGAGUUACGAGGAUCUUUCUCACGCACAAACAUGCAGGGAAGCCGAGUAUUUGUCCAAUUUCCAUCCGAAAAACCUUCCUGCAUGUUCGAGAAAUUGUCUUUAACAUGAAGAGGUAACAAAAGUAGUGAGUUUAUCCACACAGCACAUCAUAUUUGUAUGUUGCCUUUCACUUUAAAACAUCAACUCAAGUCUUGUAAUUGUGAGAGAUCUUUCUACUUGAAAAGAGAUUAUUAUCAGUUCAAA